rnacentral:rRNA from 1 species
GGAAUAUUGGACAAUGGGGGCAACCCUGAUCCAGCAAUGCCGCGUGUGUGAAGAAGGCCUGCGGGUUGUAAAGCACUUUUGUGGGGAACGAGGGGCUAGUGCGCUAAUACCGUGUUUGGUCUGACGGUACCCCACGAAUAAUCACCGGCUAACUCCGUGCCAGCAGCCGCGGUAAUACGGAGGGUGCGAGCGUUAAUCGGAAUUACUGGGCGGAAAGCGCGCGUAGGCAGCUGAUCAAGUCCGAUGUGAAAGCCCCGGGCUCAACCCGGGAAUUGCGUUGGAGACUGGUUGGCUAGAGUGCGACAGAGGGUGGUGGAAUUCCCGGUGUAGCGGUGAAAUGCGUAGAUAUCGGGAGGAACAUCGAUGGCGAAGGCAGCCACCUGGGUCGACACUGACGCUGAGGUGCGAAAGCGUGGGGAGCAAAC